GCCAGCAUGAUGUAGUGGUUUGAGCAUUGGACUAUGACUCUGGAGAUCAGGGUUCAAUUCCCUUUCUUGGCC